UCGGGCUCAUAACCCGA
rnacentral:tRNA from 1 species